rnacentral:rRNA from 1 species
CCUACGGGAGGCAGCAGUGAGGAAUAUUGGUCAAUGGGCGCGAGCCUGAACCAGCCAAGUCGCGUGAGGGAAGACGGUCCUAUGGAUUGUAAACCUCUUUUGUCGGGGAGCAAAAGACGCCACGCGUGGCGUUCCGAGAGUACCCGAAGAAAAAGCAUCGGCUAACUCCGUGCCAGCAGCCGCGGUAAUACGGAGGAUGCGAGCGUUAUCCGGAUUUAUUGGGUUUAAAGGGUGCGCAGGCGGAAUGUAAAGUCAGCGGUAAAAUGUCGGGGCUCAACCCCGUCGUGCCGUGUAAACUGGCGUUCUUGAGUGAGCGAGAAGUAUGCGGAAUGCGUGGUGUAGCGGUGAAAUGCAUAGAUAGCACGCAGAACUCCGAUUGCGAAGGCAGCAUACCGGCGCUCAACUGACGCUCAUGCACGAAAGCGUGGGUAUCGAACAGGAUUAGAGACCCGGGUAGUC